GACAGAGGCCUCGAGCGUUAGGCGGAAUCACUGGGCUUAAAGCGUGUGUAGGCGGAUCGUUAAGUGCCUUGUGAAAUCCCACGGCUCACCCGUGGAACUGCUGGGCAUACUGGGCGUCUUGGGCCAACUAGGGGCAGCCGGAACAAGCGGUGGAGCGGUGAAAUGCGUAGAUAUCGCUUGGAACGCCGGAAGGUGAAAACAGGCUGCUGGGGUUGUGC
rnacentral:rRNA from 1 species